AUCUAAGGAUGAAAGAAAAGCACAUACAUUGAUUAGAAGACUACCUUCAAUGCCAAGCUGGAGUUAAUCAUGCAAGCAAGAACAUUUUAAAAAAAGCUUAUUUUUCAUUCAGCUCUCACAUUGGUAUCGCAUUACAACAUAUGCAGUAAAAAAACUAGACAUAAUGUGACUUUCAAUGGGAAUUAGGUAUCUAAACUGUUCUUUGUGACUUUGAAAUUCUCCCCAUAAAUACAUGUUUAACUAGUAUACCAAUAAGAAAUACACUUACCAAACAUUUCUGCUGUUUUACUGAGUGCCUCUUUGUUUACAGUGUAAGUAAAUCCAUUGGUCCUAAAUAUGGAGAAAAAAAAACACAGUAAUAGGCUGUUAUUCUUUUGGGAUGGAAAAAUGAAUAUUUAAGAAAAGGAUACUACUUCAAGUUAUUUGGAGCAAAUAAUAUUUUCAUUAUUCUUCCUCCAUCAAUUUUACCCACAUAAUCAGCUUUGAAAGAUCUGCUGACACAUCACAGAUGCUCUUUGAAAAAGCCAUACUACAGAGGGAUAGGUGCUGCAGAAAGGAUGAUACCACAAUAGCAACAGUACCUCGCACUGACAUAUUCAAAGUGCUCUACAAGUCUUAACUAAUUCAUCCUCACAACACCCCAGUGAUGUAGGAAAGCAUCCCUAUUUUACACUAGCGUCCCCACCAGAAGUAGUCUGUUGGCAGUCUUGAUUGAAAUCUGAGUGUUUGAGCUAGAAGGUCACGCAAUCAAAGAACUAAGAUAGUACACAACUAAGAUCACAGAACAAAGACCGAAUAUUCACAAUAAAUUGGAUACAUCAUUUGGUCAACUGUGACUAGUAUGCGCACAAAAGCUGCCAAGGCAUUUUUCUGCAAGUCAGAAGACAAAACUUCAUAACAUGGAGUGCUUCCUACAGAGAAAGCAUAGGGGGCAAUUAAAAGUCCAUUAAUUAUUCAUCAAACUAUUACACGUGUAAGGAAUCACAGCACCAACAUCAUCAUACAAAGCAAACAUACCUGUCUCAAGAAGCUGAAAAGCAAAGUUACGGAUUCCAAGUAUAAACUGCUUCUCGGUAAAGGCCUCUUUCAUUUCUUUUGAAAGAUAUCUGCCGAUUAUCUAAAAAAUAAAAGUUUU